rnacentral:rRNA from 1 species
UACGGAGGGUGCAAGCGUUGUCCGGAAUCACUGGGCGUAAAGGGCGCGUAGGCGGCCUGGUAAGUCGGGGGUGAAAUCCUGCGGCUUAACCGCAGGGCUGCCUUCUAAACUGUCAGGCUUGAGCACGGUAGAGGCAGAUGGAAUUCCCGGUGUAGCGGUGGAAUGCGUAGAGAUCGGGAAGAACAUCAGUGGCGAAGGCGGUCUGCUGGGCCGUUGCUGACGCUGGGGCGCGACAGCGUGGGGAGCAAACAGG